UACGUAGGGGGCAAGCGUUGUCCGGACUUACUGGGCGUAAAGCGCGUGCAGGCGGAUUGGUAUGUGCCGUGUGAAAGCUCCCGGCUUGCCUGGGAGAGGUCGCGGUAGACAGCCGAUCUGGAGGCUCGGAGAGGUUCGUGGAAUUCCUGGUGUAGCGGUGAAAUGCGCAGAUAUCAGGAGGAACACCGGUGGCGAAGGCGGGUCUCUGGGCAGUAACUGACGCUGAGGAGCGCAAGCGUGGGGAGCGAACAGG
rnacentral:rRNA from 1 species